rnacentral:rRNA from 1 species
UGGGGAAUAUUGGACAAUGGGGGGAACCCUGAUCCAGCCAUGCCGCGUGUGUGAAGAAGGCCUUAUGGUUGUAAAGCACUUUAAGCGAGGAGGAGGCUCUUUUGGUUAAUACCUAAGAUGAGUGGACGUUACUCGCAGAAUAAGCACCGGCUAACUCUGUGCCAGCAGCCGCGGUAAUACAGAGGGUGCGAGCGUUAAUCGGAUUUACUGGGCGUAAAGCGUGCGUAGGCGGCUUUUUAAGUCUGAUGUGAAAUCCCCGUGCUUAACUUGGGAAUUGCAUUCGAUACUGGUUAGCUAGAGUGUGGGAGAGGAUGGUAGAAGUCCGGGUGUAGCGGUGAAAUGCGUAGAGAUCUGGAGGAAUACCGAUGGCGAAGGCAGGCAUCUGGCCUAGCACUGACGCUAAGGUACGAAAGCAUGGGGAGCAAACAGG